AUGGCUUAGCAAGCAUCUGUAUCCUCUGCCGCACUGUUUUCCAUAUUUGUAUUCAAGAACGGAAGCGCGUAGAAAUGCCUUUCAAGACAACGAGGCCUCGCAAUUUUUCACCAGUGCUAUUGUACUGCAACGCCACGCAUGCGGGACGGGACGCGGCGGCGGUGGCGGCCGCACGAUCGGCCAUUCAGCCCGGUCCUUGGCUCGCUGCCGUACAGUGCGCGCCAACCCUUCGCCUGCGUUAACUUGCUCCGGCUCCUGCGGACCGACUCACGCGUGCGGCUCAAAAGUCCGAAGCGACCGAGAGCGGGCUCGCCCGCCCACCCCCUUUGCGCCGACGCGGGGGGGGGGGGGGGGGGUUGCCGAAAUCAACGCGCCGAAGCGUCGCUUGAGAACGACAACGGGUCUACGCCGAAGAAACGGCCGCAUCGAAAUAGUUACGAGGUUUUAAUACACGUACGACAUUUGGGAUGACGUGACAACGAAUUGACGGUUCGCGUAAGCUGUUUUUAGAGGAGUGAUUUCAUCAAGUUGUUGAAAAGGCAUUUCGUUGACAAAAAAAAAUAAUCGCAAAAAGGGCUUCGAGACUUCGAGUAACGGUGCAGGUAAUUUUUGCAUUUUAAAUAUUUAAAUAAAACGCACGCUUUACUUCAUGUAUAUCCUUAAAUACUACCGUAGAAUUUUGAUCGUGUAAUUUUACGAGUGUAAAAAAUUGUCAACCUUUGAGUUAACACAAUAACGACCGCAUUAAAUAUAGCCUUUCGUUUGAAAAUGUGCAUAAGCAGAUGGAUGACCACAUUUACCGUGGCAUCCGUCCGUGUAAACACUGGAAAGUGCUAAAGUCAGCCUACUGCCUCCUGUCAUUCGGUUCGGUGUGAACCAUCAGAGUAUUAAGAGUGGUGGAGGAGAAUGCUGAGGCUAGGGAGGGUGGGGCGGAUGGGCGAGAUCUUGGCUGUGUCGUUUGCCUUACGCAGUGCAUUUCUUGCCGCGUGAGGUUGCGAGGCAGUGGCGCUGCCUGCCCGCCCUGCCCGCCCCGCUUCGCUGGCUGCCCUUUGGGCUGGCCGGCCAGGUGACUGGCAGCCUUGGCAGAUGAGCAAAGUCACCUGCCUGCCCGCUUGCUUGCGCGCCUACCUGGCCUGUCUGCUCUGGCUGGACGGUCGGGUUUGGCCGAUUGCCCGGCGUGCCGUCCAAUUUUCGAUCGGUCUGCUGUCUGCUCCUUUUGGGCUAAGUUCACCGCGCGGCACGUGGAGAAAGGGACGGUGGCUUAAGGGGGUGCUGCAAGAUCCCCUGCGUGCCUGCCCCAGGUCCCUAGCUCGGAGCUGAAGCUUCGUCUGUCGCGAAGACCAGACUACUUGGACGGGUGGAGGCGAUGGAAGGACCGUACCAACGUCGUCUACGCAUUCCGAUUGGCUUUGUUUCACAGGGCGACUUUUAAAAUUAAUAUCACUUCUGUUGUGUUUACGCAGCUAAUUAGGAUCGUGUUGAAAUGUUUUGCUUUACAUUUUAACCCCUGUACUUGCUUUUCUGGCUGUAAUUUACGAUACAACUCACUGUUAAUAUCAGCGUGUAAACAAAGUACGUUUAGAUUCUCAUUGAAUUAUUAAAUGGUCGAUUUUAUAAAAAAAUCUGUUGUAACUAUUAAUGGUGAUGUUUUAAAUUCAAAUCAUGAAUAUGUUCUGUUAAUCAAUUUACCGUUGCAUGUUUGUUUUUACAAUUUAAUAUGAAUGCAUAUGUGGAGUGGUGAAAGAACAACAUAACCGCUGAUAUUAGUAGUGAUCAUAAUAUGACUAACAGGCUUCAUUUGAAUACAUGGCUUUAUUGAACACAAGCAAAUUGGAUCACCGUAUCUAUUUUUAUUUCAAUAAAUCACUCUUUAAGCAACGUACAGUUUUAACGGCAUUGAAUAUCUGUACAAAAUCUACAUGUUACCUCAAUUACCUUUCGUUGGAAAUAUUUGUUUUCACUUAAAAAUAGUUCGUUUUAUAACGUCAUUAUUAAUACAUUCAUGUAAAACCCCUCCAGAUAUUCGUUGAAACUUCUUAUAUGGUUACAAUUCAGUUGUAUAUUUUAACAGCUACUACUAUGGUAUUGUAAAUAUGUACAGGGAUUAACAUUCAUAGUGAUAUCCUGUCUUACUCAAUGACAUCAGUCAGAAUAUAUAUUUGGUGCAUAUUGAACAUUUUCGAGCAAAUAAAACGCCUUAAAAUAAGUUGUAACAGGAACGAAUAAUAUAUUUGGUUAAAAUGACAAACAAUGUAUUCAUUCAUAGGAAUGUUCCACACACACACACAGGGACAUGGAGGAAUACAGUACCAUCACUGGAUACUAAUACGUAUAUACAUCCAGACAGAGAAAUAUCGGGCACAUCAAUCUACAGUAUAUACGAGGGUGGCAGCACUGAGUUUCCGUAACGAUGUAAGCGAUGCACACACACACACCCUUCCGUAAUAUAGUGUCUCCAAGCACCACCACAGAUAAAGAAAUAAAAAUCAAGUAAAAUUCAAACAAUUGUAAUAUUCCUCGGUGUGCAGCGCCUGCCUCAUUCAG